UCCGGGGUUGACGAUGGCUGUGUUGUUGAAGGGCCUGUAGCCGGGGGGCUCCUGGCCGGAUCCCGGUCUACCCUUAGCCCAGCCUCGUUCCGGACCCCAGCUUGGCCCGGAACACUCUGGGCGAGACGGCGGUGGCAACUCUCCGCUUGCCGCCAUGCACGACGCUUUCGAGCCAGUGCCGAUCCUAGAAAAGCUGCCUCUGCAAAUCGACUGUCUGGCUGCCUGGGAGGAAUGGCUUCUUGUGGGAACCAAACAAGGACAUCUUCUUCUCUAUAGGAUUCGGAAGGACGUUGGUUGCAACAGAUUUGAAGUGACACUAGAGAAAUCCAAUAAGAACUUCUCCAAAAAGAUUCAGCAGGUAAGCAGUGAUGGCAGUCCUUACAAGAAUAUUUGACUUACAUGAGACCCUGUCAGACUAGAACUUUGGUAAUGUUAUUUAUUAACUCUGAAUCCUCUUCUCUUUGACCUUCCAUUUAUGCAGGAGUGUCUGCUCAUAUAUCAUGUGCCUGAGAUUCUCUCUCACAAGCAGAAAUGAUAAUCACAGAAAUUAUAAUGCCCAGAAAAAUCAGUGAGAUCCCUGUAACUGGAUAGGC
rnacentral:sRNA from 1 species